ensembl:snoRNA SNORD22 Small nucleolar RNA SNORD22
UCCUAGUGAAGAGAUAUUCUUAUUUCCUGCCCUAUCCCUAGAACAUGAAAGAGUGAAUCCACUGGGGCCAGCUGAGGAAGAAGGGGAAAAUGUGUUCCUGAAGGAACUGUCAGCCCAGUUUUUGUGUGUGGAAAAGGGAA